UACGUAGGGUGCAAGCGUUAAUCGGAAUUACUGGGCGUAAAGCGUGCGCAGGCGGCUUUGCAAGACAGAUGUGAAAUCCCCGGGCUCAACCUGGGAACUGCAUUUGUGACUGCAAAGCUAGAGUACGGCAGAGGGGGAUGGAAUUCCGCGUGUAGCAGUGAAAUGCGUAGAUAUGCGGAGGAACACCGAUGGCGAAGGCAAUCCCCUGGGCCUGUACCGACGCUCAUGCACGAAAGCGUGGGGAGCAAACAGG
rnacentral:rRNA from 1 species